UCGCUUUGGGAGGAGCUCGCUUACUAUCAGCUUGUUGGUAGGGUAAUGGCCUACCAAGGCUAUGACGGUUAGGGGGUGUGAGAGCAUGACCCCCAGCAUUGGCACUGAAACACUGGCCAAACACCUACGGGUGGCUGCAGUCGAGAAUCUUCCACAAUGGGGGAAACCCUGAUGGAGCGAUGCUGCGUGCGGGAUGAAGGCCUUCGGGUUGUAAACCGCUUUUGUAGGGGACGAAAUUUUUGACGGUACCCUUUCGAAUAAGAGGUUGCUAACUCUGUGCCAGCAGCAGCGGUAAUACAGAGACCUCAAGCGUUAUCCGGAUUUACUGGGCGUAAAGCGUCUGUAGGGGGUUUAUUAAGUUCCAAGUAAAAUUUCAAGGCUCAACUUUGAAUUCGCUUGGAAAACUAAUAAACUGGAGUCUAGCAGAGGUGCAUGGAGCUUGUGGUGUAGGAGUGAAAUCCGUUGAUAUCACAAGGAACACCAAAGGCGAAGGCAUUGCACUGGGCUAGCACUGACCCUGAGAGACGAAAGCGUGGGGAGCAAAACGGAUUAGAUACCCGUGUAGUCCACGCCCUAAACGAUGAAUGCUAAAUGUUCGGGGAUUCGACCCCCUGGGUGUUACAGCUAACGCGUUAAGCAUUCCGCCUGGGAAGUACGGCCGCAAGGCUAAAACUCAAAGGAAUAGACGGGGAUCCGCGCAAGCGGUGGAGCGUCUGGUUUAAUUCGACAGUAAGCGUGGUACCUCACCAGGGUUUGACAUCCCUUGACAGCCUUGGAAACAAGGUUUCCUUCGGGCAAGGUGACAGGUGCUGCGUGGUCGUCGUCAGUUCGUGCCGUGAGGUGUUCCGUUAAGUCGGGAAACGAACGAAACCCCUAUUGCAUGUUACAAUUUCUCAUGCAAGACUGCCCGGAUAUACUGGGAGGAAGGUGGGGAUGACGUCAGAUCUGCAUGGUCCUUAUACCCUGGGCGACACAGGCGCUACAAUGGCAGAGACAAAGGGUUGCAAAACCGCAAGGUGAAGCUAAUCCCAAAAACUUUGUCUAAGUUCGGAUUGAAGGCUGCAAUUCGCCUUCAUGAAGCUGGAAUCGCUAGUAAUCGUGAAUCAGCCACGUCACGGUGAAUAUGUUCCCGGAUCUUGUACUCACCGCCCGUCACACCAAGAGAGUUGGUAGCUCCCGAAGCGUCCCGUUUUAGCGGGGC
rnacentral:rRNA from 1 species